rnacentral:tRNA from 1 species
ACGGGAAUAGCACAGCUGCGAAACCGUUAGACUAUAGAUCGACAGGUUCCUGGUUCGAUCCCGGGAUUCGGCA